UACGAGUCACGGCAUACAGCUCAGUAACACGUGGCUAACCUGCCCUUGGGACGAGAACACCCCCGGGAAACUGGGGCUAAUUCGCGAUAGGUGAAGAACACUGGAAUGUGUCUUCGCCUAAAAGGCACUGCGUUAUGCUCGUAGUGUCGCCCAAGGAUGGGGCCGCGACCGAUCAGGUUGUUGGUGAGGUAAUGGCUCACCAAGCCUUUUACCGGUGCGGGCCGUGGGAGCGGGAGCCCGGAGAUGGGCACUGAGACAAGGGCCCAGGCCCUACGGGGCGCAGCAGUCGCGAAAACUUUGCAAUAAGCGAAAGCUUGACAGGGCUAUCCCGAGUGCCAUCCGCUGAGGAAGGCUUUUACCCAGUCUAGAACGCUGGGGGAAUAAGGAGAAGGCAAGUCUGGUGUCAGCCGCCGCGGUAAUACCAGCUCUUCGAGUGGUGUGGAUGUUUAUUGGGCCUAAAGCAUCCGUAGCUGGCUAGGUUAGUCCCCUGUUAAAUCCACCGAAUUAAUCGUUGGAUUGCGGGGGAUACUGCUUGGCUAGGGAACGAGAGAGGCAGACGGUAUUCCCGGGGUAGGGGUGAAAUCCUAUAAUCCCGAGAAGACCACCAGUGGCGAAGGCUGUCUGCUAGAACGCGUCCGACGGUGAGGGAUGAAAGCUGGGGGAGCGAACCGGAUUAGAUACCCGGGUAGUCCCAGCUGUAAACGAUGCAGGCUAGGUGUUUGGACGGCCACGUGCCGUUCUAGUGCCGCAGGGAAGCUGUUAAGCCUGCCGCCUGGGGAGUACGAUCGCAAGAUUGAAACUUAAAGGAAUUGGCGGGGGAGCACCACAAGGGGUGAAGCUUGCGGUUUAAUUGGAGUCAACGCCGG
rnacentral:rRNA from 1 species